rnacentral:lncRNA from 1 species
GAGGGAAUUUCUGCGUUGUGGGCGGGGCGCAGACGCCAGGCGCCGUACUCCCGGCGCUAGCUUCACUGCCUAUUACCUCGAGGUGCGGUAGCCAGUUAGCGUCUGCGGCUCAGACCCUGUGCUGCUCGCACGGACCUGCUGCCCGGGACCCACGUCUCAGCGGCUCUUCUGCAGCUGGGCCUAGACGCUCCGCUGCCUCCUUGGGCCUGAGGGGCUCCUCUGUACUUAAACUUUGAUGGAGUAGGAGUCACAAGGAAUCUACCUCUCCACCUAGACAACAGUUGUACCAGCAGCAACUCUCUGAAGUAACUAUGUUGGAACUCUGGAGUCUAUUCGAAUGCUGUUACACCUUCCAAGGGAGAGCUGGGCUGGUAAAUAGAGGUUAAUUUCAGUCUGUGUCAGCUUUUAGUGUGAUAGCAGCUACUCAUUCAGUGUUACUUAAAACUGUAGCACGCAGCUGUAUCCACAUUCCUGGUGCGGCUUGCUGGAGGCUGGGUGGGCAGUAAGAACUUUGUCCUCCAAAUACUGGCUGUCGACACUCUGGUUGCUGAUGACUGAGCUGCAGGUGCAGAGGCAGGUUGCCACUAUUUUGACCCUUCACCAGCUGAACCUCUUUCCAAGGGUUUUAAAGGAAUAGCACCUGUUUUGUUUGUUUGCUUUCCCUUUUACCCCAUUUAUGAGUCAGAUAUUGAAGGAUUAGGAUAUUCAAAAGCCAUCACUUAGGCAGGGGAAAGUAGAAAGCUACUGCAUAUAACCAGGGAAAGACACAGCUAAGAAAAGACCUAAGAAAACCUUAAGCUUUCACCCGAGGCUGAUCCUGAUCCUGAUCCCCAGCACAGAGACAAUUACAAAAGCCCAGCAAACGUGGGGGCAGAAGGAGAAUCUUAUUUUCAGAUUCACCACAUUAUAAGAUUCAAAUGUUCAAUUUUCAACAACAACAAAUGAUAAGGAUUUAAAAUUUAAUUUUUUUUAAGUGCCAUAAUUAAAAAGUCAAGGGAUGUAACCAGAUGGAAUUUAUGGUUCUGAAUUGGAUGCUGAUUUGGGAAUACUGAUUGUAGAAAAAUUUAAAGGCAUGUGGUUGUAGUCCCACUUAAUUGGUUGUUACUAGGCAAUACAGACCCCAUCUCUAGUUGAAAAAUAAAAUUAAAAAAAAAAA